rnacentral:rRNA from 1 species
AUGCAGUCGUACGAGAGUUUUUAACUCUAGUGGCGGACGGGUGAGUAACACGUGAGAAUUUACCUUUAGGAGGGGGAUAACAGCGUAUCAAUAGAUAUUACGGAAACGGCUGCUAAUACCCCAUAUGCUUUUGAGUGAAAUAGAUUUAUCUGCCUAAAGAGAAGCUCGCGGCUGAUUAGCUUGUUGGUAAGGUAAUGGCUUACCAAGGCGACGAUCAGUAUCUGGUUUGAGAGGACGAUCAGACACACUGGAACUGAGACACGGUCCAGACUCCUACGGGAGGCAGCAGUGGGGAAUUUUCCGCAAUGGGCGAAAGCCUGACGGAGCAAUACCGCGUGAGGGAUACGGCCUAUGGGUUGUAAACCUCUUUUUUCAGGGAGGAAUUCAAUGACGUGUACCUGAGGAAUAAGCAUCGGCUAACUCCGUGCCAGCAGCCGCGGUAAUACG